AGUGAGCAUGGGGAGCAAUGUGGACCAUCCAUGGAACAGCACAGUGCUCUGUCCUCCAGAAGCUUGGCAGUAAAAUGCGUCCACCAAGGUGGCUCUGCCUCCAUGCACGGGAUCAGCGGACACUUUUCAAAGGCUAGCUGCUCACGGACCUUCAGGAUGAAGCCUGGGAGAAUCCUGGCCCCCACAGAGCCAACCUUUGAGGCGUUCGCAGCAGAAGAAUGAGAACAGGAAAGAUGUCUGCACUCCCUCGAGCCUUACAGGCCAACCACAGUGAGCCACUUGCUGUUGUUCAAAUGCACAGCCUGGGCCACGGAGGUUCCGUCCACACUGUGUCCUCCUCUUCCCACAAAUACAGAGGCAGCAGCGCCUGAGCUGAAGCUAUGCACAUGCCGCCCCUCCUUCCCAACCUUUCUAAUCUUUUCAGAUUUCUGCCACAGGCUGUGUCACUUCAUUCCAUGGACCUGUUUACAUGUUUUCUUUCCUACCAAACUGUUUGCUCCUAAUCAAGAGCAUGUUAAUCAUUUUUCUGUUACUAGGACAAAAUAACCAACACACAAAAUUUAAAGUAGGCAAGAGAUGACUCACGGCUUCAGAGAUUUCAGUCCAUGGUUGGCCAAUUCCACUGCUGAGGGCCUGAGUGAGGCAGAACAACAGAGCAUGGUGGGAAAAAGCUGCCCACCUUAUCACCCUGGUAACCCACUUCUCUGGAUACACUUUCUUAGACUUUCACCAAAAACAUUCAAACUCCCAACUGAUGCAAUCACUUCAGUCUCAGAGUUUAUUUGAACCUCUCACAUCAGAUCCGCUGGGUCUCCGCUGCACCAAACUUGAGUCCUACCAUCUCUGAUGUGAGCCAGACCCAGGAAUCUAACAAGCUCAUUCUGGCUGGUCCCAGCUCUCAUGUCUUCUUUGGCAGGAGCUCUUCCCCCAUUUAUCUGGGACCGAACAUGGUGCAGGACACGAGCAUGUUUCUUCAUACAGUUCUCACCACCCUUUUGUGAGUAGGUCUUAUUGUCAUUUUUAUCUUUUGUAGCUAUAAUAGCAACAUGUACUGCCUGUUCACAGACAGGGAGCAAUGUGUCACGUAGUCCUUGCAGCAACACAAUGAAGCCACUGCUAGUAUCAGUCACCAUUUAUGGAUGCAAAGACGAGGCCAGGUCCAGUGACAACUCCAAGAUCCUAGAGAUACUAAGUCCUAGAGAUACUAAGGAGAUAAAGCAAUUAACUUAGCCAAAAGCAAAUCAGGGUCAUCCUACCACUAGCCUUGCCAAUCCUCUGUGGUAUUUGUCACCAGUGCCUCCCUGCUGGCAAUGCCCCAUCCUCAGCCUUCCAGGACUGUUGGGAGCCGCGUCUGUGAUAGCUCGCCUUGCGCGGCGGACGUGCGGCCUGUGGUAAAGAGCAAAGCCUGAGGUAGAUUACCCCUCCCAUCGAAUAUGUUAGUUUCCUGCUUACCGCGUAAACAACCCGCUCAACAAUAUAGUCUGCCUGGCAACUGAUGAUGUUAGCCAAUCAGCUUGCCUUGCUUACUUUAACAUGAUUGGACACUGUACCCGUAUAUAUACCAGUGCCACCCCUGGGCGGAAGAGGAAGCCAGAUAGAAGCCCGGAAGUAGAAGCCCAAAAGGAGCCGCGGAGAGCGGACCGGUAGAGGCUUUGGGGCAGACUGAAGCACAAAAGGAGCCGCGGGGAGCGGACCAGAGGAGGCUUCAGCUGGGAGAACCCAGGGCAGGCUGUACGGAGAAGGAAAAUAAAAAGAAAAGGUUGUCCACUACCAGACUUUGUCGUGUGUCCUUCCUGCCGGCCGGGAGCGGACAUCGACAUUUGGUGGCCCGUACGGGGACUGAUCACCCCCGAGACGUGGAAGUGGACAACGCUCCAGUACAGAGCUGCGAGACAGGAACCGGGACGAGAACCACUGUGGAUACCGGAGAGACUGACACGGGCAACAAAGCCCUCGACUGAAGAUCAGACCUGCCCUACUGGAGAUCCAUCACAGACCAACCAAUAAGAUGAAUAGAAAUAGCGGUAGCCCGAAAUGGACAAGAAGAUCCUCAGGCAUAUGCAUGGCUUGCUCAAUUGGCCCACGACCGAGUCUAGAUAUGGCGGGCAUCCCUCAUUCUCCUCCAUAAGGUGACAAUACACAGCAGGGUAGGUGAGUCAAUGACGGGUAAGAGCGUGCCUCCCCAGCACGACUCGACCUAAGCCAGGCCCUACCCCAUCCUGCACGUAAGCCGCUGGACUGUUAGAUGCUGCCCAGGUCUAAAUUUCUCUCCGAGGGGAUUUCUUUACGGAGAGAAAAUGAGUGCAAGCUUGUGUGCAUCCAGGUUCCGUCCAGUUUGUGCCUGGCCCUAGAAAAAGGACGAGGGCCUCAGGGCCUUGGCAGACCAUGGCAUGGCCAACCAGGGUCUAAGCCAAGGACCUACGGUGGACCUACACAUAGGGCAUAAGCCUCUGCACCCAGUCCAGGAAGGGCUACGAUGCGCACAUUCAUAAAAAAUAAAAUAGGGGGAGAUGUUGGGAGCCGCGUCUGUGAUAGCUCGCCUUGCGCGGCGGACGUGCGGCCUGUGGUAAAGAGCAAAGCCUGAGGUAGAUUACCCCUCCCAUCGAAUAUGUUAGUUUCCUGCUUACCGCGUAAACAACCCGCUCAACAAUAUAGUCUGCCUGGCAACUGAUGAUGUUAGCCAAUCAGCUUGCCUUGCUUACUUUAACAUGAUUGGACACUGUACCCGUAUAUAUACCGGUGCCACCCCUGGGCGGAAGAAGAAGCCAGAUAGAAGCCCGGAAGUAGAAGCCCAAAAGGAGCCGCGGAGAGCGGACCGGUAGAGGCUUUGGGGCAGACUGAAGCACAAAAGGAGCCGCGGGGAGCGGACCAGAGGAGGCUUCAGCUGGGAGAACCCAGGGCAGGCUGUACGGAGAAGGAAAAUAAAAAGAAAAGGUUGUCCACUA